GCGAUCAGACACCACCGUAUUCCCGGCCGUAAACGGUGCCGCCCCGCGGCCGGCGCGCGCGUCCCGCCGGCCGCCCAGGGAAACCGGGAGGCUCCGGGCUCUGGGGGGAGUAUGGCCGCAAGGCUGAAACUUGAAGGCAUUGACGGAGGGGUACCACCAGACGUGGAGUCUGCGGCUCAAUCUGACUCAACGCGCGCACCUCACCAGGCCCGGACGCGCGGAGGACCGACAGCCGGGCGCGCUUUCGCGAUCGCGCGGGCGGUGGUGCAUGGCCGCUCCCAGCCCGUGGCGCGAGCCGUCUGCUCCAUUGCGACAACGGGCGAGACCCCGGCCGCGGGCGCCGCGGGACGGCCCGCGCGAGCGGGAGGACGGCGGGGCGAUAGCAGGUCUGUGAUGCCCUCAGACGCCCUGGGCCGCACGCGCGCUACACUGGCGGGGCCAGCCGGCGCCCGCGAGGACGCGCGGAGCCCCCGCCGUGGCCGGGACCGCGGGCUGGAACGCCCCCGCGCACCAGGAAUGUCUUGUAGGCGCC
rnacentral:rRNA from 1 species